rnacentral:misc_RNA from 1 species
UCAAACUUGGUCAUUUAGAGGAAGUAAAAGUCGUAACAAGGUCUCCGUUGGUGAACCAGCGGAGGGAUCAUUACCGAGUUUUUCACGCUCACCAACCCUUUGCGAACGCUACCACGCCGUUGCCUCGGCGGUGCGGCCCCGGCCAACGCGCCGGAUCCAGGCCCCCGCCGGAGGACCGCGAAACCUCUGCAUCUCUGGAGUCUCUGACGCGGCCUCGCGCCGACACAUUCUAAAUGAAUCAAAACUUUCAACAACGGAUCUCUUGGUUCUGGCAUCGAUGAAGAACGCAGC